GACGAACGCUGGCGGCGUGCUUAACACAUGCAAGUCGAGCGGUAAGGCCCGUUUCGGGGGUACACGAGCGGCGGAACGGGUGAGUAACACGUGGGUGACCUCGCCCUUAGCUCUGGGAUAAGCCUGGGAAACGUGGGUCUAAUACCGGAUAUGACUCCAUAACGCAUGUUGUGGGGUGGAAAGCCUUGUGCGGCUAGGGAUGGGCCCGCGGCCCAUCAGCUUGUUGGUGGGGUGAUGGCCACCAAG
rnacentral:rRNA from 1 species